AGAUUAAGUUAUUAAGGGCGCACGGUGGAUGCCUUGGCACUAGAAGCCGAUGAAGGACGUUACUAACGACGAUAUGCUUUGGGGAGCUGUAAGUAAGCUUUGAUCCAGAGAUUUCCGAAUGGGGAAACCCAGCAUGAGUUAUGUCAUGUUAUCGAUAUGUGAAUACAUAGCAUAUCAGAAGGCACACCCGGAGAACUGAAACAUCUUAGUACCCGGAGGAAGAGAAAGAAAAUUCGAUUCCCUUAGUAGCGGCGAGCGAAACGGGAAGAGCCCAAACCAACAAGCUUGCUUGUUGGGGUUGUAGGACACUCUAUACGGAGUUACAAAGGACGACAUUAGACGAAUCAUCUGGAAAGAUGAAUCAAAGAAGGUAAUAAUCCUGUAGUCGAAAAUGUUGUCUCUCUUGAGUGGAUCCUGAGUACGACGGAGCACGUGAAAUUCCGUCGGAAUCUGGGAGGACCAUCUCCUAAGGCUAAAUACUCUCUAGUGACCGAUAGUGAACCAGUACCGUGAGGGAAAGGUGAAAAGCACCCCGGAAGGGGAGUGAAAUAGAACCUGAAACCGUGUGCUUACAAGUAGUCAGAGCCCGUUAAUGGGUGAUGGCGUGCCUUUUGUAGAAUGAACCGGCGAGUUACGAUUUGAUGCAAGGUUAAGCAGUAAAUGUGGAGCCGUAGCGAAAGCGAGUCUGAAUAGGGCGUUUAGUAUUUGGUCGUAGACCCGAAACCAGGUGAUCUACCCUUGGUCAGGUUGAAGUUCAGGUAACACUGAAUGGAGGACCGAACCGACUUACGUUGAAAAGUGAGCGGAUGAACUGAGGGUAGCGGAGAAAUUCCAAUCGAACCUGGAGAUAGCUGGUUCUCUCCGAAAUAGCUUUAGGGCUAGCCUCAAGUGAUGAUUAUUGGAGGUAGAGCACUGUUUGGACGAGGGGCCCCUCUCGGGUUACCGAAUUCAGACAAACUCCGAAUGCCAAUUAAUUUAACUUGGGAGUCAGAACAUGGGUGAUAAGGUCCGUGUUCGAAAGGGAAACAGCCCAGACCACCAGCUAAGGUCCCAAAAUAUAUGUUAAGUGGAAAAGGAUGUGGCGUUGCCCAGACAACUAGGAUGUUGGCUUAGAAGCAGCCAUCAUUUAAAGAGUGCGUAAUAGCUCACUAGUCGAGUGACACUGCGCCGAAAAUGUACCGGGGCUAAACAUAUUACCGAAGCUGUGGAUUGUCCUUUGGACAAUGGUAGGAGAGCGUUCUAAGGGCGUUGAAGCAUGAUCGUAAGGACAUGUGGAGCGCUUAGAAGUGAGAAUGCCGGUGUGAGUAGCGAAAGACGGGUGAGAAUCCCGUCCACCGAUUGACUAAGGUUUCCAGAGGAAGGCUCGUCCGCUCUGGGUUAGUCGGGUCCUAAGCUGAGGCCGACAGGCGUAGGCGAUGGAUAACAGGUUGAUAUUCCUGUACCACCUAUAAUCGUUUUAAUCGAUGGGGGGACGCAGUAGGAUAGGCGAAGCGUGCGAUUGGAUUGCACGUCUAAGCAGUAAGGCUGAGUAUUAGGCAAAUCCGGUACUCGUUAAGGCUGAGCUGUGAUGGGGAGAAGACAUUGUGUCUUCGAGUCGUUGAUUUCACACUGCCGAGAAAAGUCUCUAGAUAGAAAAUAGGUGCCCGUACCGCAAACCGACACAGGUAGUCAAGAUGAGAAUUCUAAGGUGAGCGAGCGAACUCUCGUUAAGGAACUCGGCAAAAUGACCCCGUAACUUCGGGAGAAGGGGUGCUCUUUAGGGUUAACGCCCAGAAGAGCCGCAGUGAAUAGGCCCAAGCGACUGUUUAUCAAAAACACAGGUCUCUGCUAAACCGUAAGGUGAUGUAUAGGGGCUGACGCCUGCCCGGUGCUGGAAGGUUAAGAGGAGUGGUUAGCUUCUGCGAAGCUACGAAUCGAAGCCCCAGUAAACGGCGGCCGUAACUAUAACGGUCCUAAGGUAGCGAAAUUCCUUGUCGGGUAAGUUCCGACCCGCACGAAAGGCGUAACGAUUUGGGCACUGUCUCAACGAGAGACUCGGUGAAAUCAUAGUACCUGUGAAGAUGCAGGUUACCCGCGACAGGACGGAAAGACCCCGUGGAGCUUUACUGUAGCCUGAUAUUGAAAUUCGGCACAGCUUGUACAGGAUAGGUAGGAGCCUUUGAAACGUGAGCGCUAGCUUACGUGGAGGCGCUGGUGGGAUACUACCCUAGCUGUGUUGGCUUUCUAACCCGCACCACUUAUCGUGGUGGGAGACAGUGUCAGGCGGGCAGUUUGACUGGGGCGGUCGCCUCCUAAAAGGUAACGGAGGCGCUCAAAGGUUUCCUCAGAAUGGUUGGAAAUCAUUCAUAGAGUGUAAAGGCAUAAGGGAGCUUGACUGCGAGACCUACAAGUCGAGCAGGGUCGAAAGACGGACUUAGUGAUCCGGUGGUUCCGCAUGGAAGGGCCAUCGCUCAACGGAUAAAAGCUACCCCGGGGAUAACAGGCUUAUCUCCCCCAAGAGUUCACAUCGACGGGGAGGUUUGGCACCUCGAUGUCGGCUCAUCGCAUCCUGGGGCUGUAGUCGGUCCCAAGGGUUGGGCUGUUCGCCCAUUAAAGCGGUACGCGAGCUGGGUUCAGAACGUCGUGAGACAGUUCGGUCCCUAUCCGUCGUGGGCGUAGGAAAUUUGAGAGGAGCUGUCCUUAGUACGAGAGGACCGGGAUGGACAUACCUCUGGUGUACCAGUUGUCGUGCCAACGGCAUAGCUGGGUAGCUAUGUGUGGACGGGAUAAGUGCUGAAAGCAUCUAAGCAUGAAGCCCCCCUCAAGAUGAGAUUUCCCAACUUCGGUUAUAAGAUCCCUCAAAGAUGAUGAGGUUAAUAGGUUCGAGGUGGAAGCAUGGUGACAUGUGGAGCUGACGAAUACUAAUCGAUCGAAGACUUAAUCAAAUU
rnacentral:rRNA from 1 species